CCCCCCCCCCCCCCCACCAAUCUUUGCCCACCAACACACUCACAACCAUCAAGCUCUCAAACCCAUCUCUCUCCAACAUCCAUCCAAGCCUUCCAGACAUAGUAAGCCUCUCAAUUUCUCUCUUCAUUGGCAUUUUUUUGGCUCUCUCUAGUCAUUCAAGUAAGGCCCCCACCUCUUUUUGUAUUUUUUUUCUCAUUCUUCAACCUUAGAUGUAAAGUUUUUAAUAUCAGUAGGAGUAAUGGUUUCUUGGAUGGGUUCGUUUUUUUGUUGAUUUUACCAUAUUUUUCCUCAUGGAGUGAAAUGGAGACAAGUUUUUUUUUUCUUUUCCCUUUGAUCUCAAGGAGUAUGUUAGUUCUUUUUGUAUUUCUAAAUGACAAACAUUUUUCUUUGCACAUAUGGCCAAGAUUUGAGCAGGAGAUCAGUGAGACUCUGCACAAAAGGCAUUGGAUUAUGCUUGUGGAGUUGUAGUUGUGACUGUCCUCUAAUCCUUCAAAACGGUGCCUGUCACCAACCUAACACUAUAACGAAUCACUUUGAAACCCUACUACUCUUAGAUCUGAUCCCAUGAUUUGCAUUAUAUUUUUUAGUUACUAGUAGAUUUUAGAAUCUUCGAUGUGCUCUAAUGUCUAGGUUAUUUUUUAUUUUUGGGUUGCUUUUUGACUCCUGGAGAUCUGGUAUAUAACUUUGAUGUUGUUGGAAAAUCUCUUUUUGCAUUAUUUCGUGGAGAUCACAUAGUUUAAGAACAUAAUAAUAUAGUUUUUUUUUUUAGGGUGGGAAUGGGUAGUUGAAAUAGCACAGGGGGAGGUUAUUUCAACGCUAUUUGACUAGAGUUAUUUUUAGGUUGCAGCAAAGACUAGAUUUAAAUUUGUACAUAUUCUUUUUCUAAAAUACAAAUCUUGCAAACCUUAAACCACCUAUCUAUCAAGUAUCUCCCUAAGUAACUCAAAAAAGUGUAAUUAGUAGUGCUGGACUACAAUUCACAGCCAAGAAACUUCAAAGCCCUGCUGUGUGACAAAUGUAAUGUUUUUUUGGAAUUUUCAUUUGGCUUUCAUUUUUUGGGUUUAAAUUUUCACUCAUAAGGUUUUAUUUUUAAUUUGUUAAAUUAGAAAAAUAUACGGAGAGUCGGCAAUUAAGAUGAAUUUGGGAUUGUUGCAAGAUUCACGCACUAAUGUGGUUUUCUUUGAUUCUCUAAGUGAAUAUAUGUGAAUAAUUCAGUAUUUUGGUUGAGUUUUUUUACAGGUACUUAUGAUUUUUCAAUUUCUUCUUGACUGGGUUGGAAGAAAAAUAGAGAAAUUUAUCUCUUUGAAUAGGACAUUACUUUAUCUAUGAGCUUUAAAAGCUAUGAAGACUAGCACGGCGAUGUCGCCAAGUGUCAUGAAAAAAUUGCAGGGCUUUGGUAAAAGCUUAUGAGAUGAACCCAUUGAUUCAUCUUCCGUUUGGGUGGCUACAGCAAAUAGACUUUAAGUUUUAUUUAGUGUGAUUAAAUCACAUAGAAGACUAUGUUAUUGAUAUAUAACUCAUCUUGUAAUUUUAUAUUUUGUAAUGUAAUGUAAUUUGUAGUGGAUUGCAUGCA